GAUUCUCAGGGCGGGGUGAAAAUCCCCACCGGCGGUAAUCGCGCAAGCGUAGCCCGCGGGCGCUCUAUCUGGUUCGAACAUGAGUGAAAACUUAAGUGCGAAGGUCUUAGCCGAAUUUGGCUAUCAAGGUAGAGGACAGCAGACUCGGUGUGAUUCCGAGGCCGACAGUUAAAGUCUGGUUAUGAGAAUG
rnacentral:ncRNA from 1 species